ensembl:lncRNA
AUGGAGAUAGACUUGGUCGCGUCUUACGAGCGAGCGUGCGCAGUCACUGCUGAAUUGCCUGAGUCAAUUCGAAGGCAAGAAAGCAGUUCCACUGAAACUAUUUCAGAGGCUCCUGGGGCAUAUGGCAUCCUCAGGGGCGGUCAUACCGCUCGGGUUGCUUCAUAUGAGACCGCAUCAGCACUGGCUUCACGGCCGAGUCCCAAGAUGGGCAUGGGAAGAGGGCAUGUUUUGGGUGAUCAUCACUCCAACCUGCCGCUGAACCUUCACCCCGUGGUUGGACCUCUCAUUUCUACGGGCUGGCAUUCCCCUAGAACCAGUGUCCAGACAUGUUGUGUCAACAGAUGCCUCUGCCACGGGCUGGGGUGCCAUGUGCAACGGGCAUGCUGCAUCAGGUUCCUGGACAGGACCCUGACUUCAGUGGCAUGUCAAUUGCCUCGAGUUGCUAGCAGUACGGCUUUCUCUGCGCCGCUUCAGGGCCCUGCUGAGGGACAAGCACGUUCUGGUCUGUACGGACAAUUGUGCAGCCGACAAGCUUUCACUUCAGCAGUCUCUCCCCGGGGAAUGGAGACUCCACCCCCAGUCGGUUCAGCUGAUUUGGGCACGCUUCGGAGAUGCGCAGAUAGACCUGUUUGCCUCUCCAGAGAAUUCCCACUGCCAGUUGUUUUACUCCCUGACCGAGGGCACCCUUGGCACGGACGCUCUGGUGCACAGCUGGCCGCUGGGCCUGUGCAAGUAUGCGUUUCCCCCAGUGAGCCUUCUUGCACAGACAUUGUGCAAGAUCAGGGAGGACGAGGAGCAGGUCGUCAUGGUUGCGCCUUAUUGGCCCGGCCGGACCUGGUUCCCCGAACUUGUACUCCUCGCGACAGCCCCUCCCUGGCCAAUACCUCUGAGGAAGGACCUUCUUUCUCAGAGGCAGGACACCCUCUGGCACCCGUGUCCCGAUCUUUGGAACCUACAUGUGUGGGUUCUGGACGGGUCACGGAAGGUUUAGGUACCUUGCCGCCUGAAGCUACCAUCACUUCAGCUUGGGCCUUGUCUACCAGACACGCCUAUGCCCUGAAGUGGAACCUCUUCGUUGCUUGGUGUUCUUCACAUCGUGAAGACCCCUGGAGAUGCCCAAUCGGGUCAGUGCUUUCCUUUCUUCAGGAAGGGUUGGAACGAAGGCUGUCUGCUUCCACCCUGAAGGUCUAUGUAGCUGCCAUUGCGGCCCACCAUGACCCUGUUGACGGUAAGUCUCUUGGGAAGCAUGAUGUGGUUAUCAGGUUCCUGAGAGGAGCCAGGAGGCUCAAUCCACCUCGCCCUCAUCAAGUUCCCUCUUGGGACCUCGCAGUGGUUCUAUCUGCACUGCAGAGGGCUCCCUUUGAACCCUUGCUCUCAGUAGAGCUAAAGUUUUUGUCAUUGAAGACUGCACUCCUGACGGCUUUGGCCUUGGUUAAGAGGGUCGGGGACCUGCAGGCAUUUUCAGUCGACGAAGCGUGCCUGGAAUUCAGGCCGACCAACUCUCACGUUAUCUUGAGACCCCGGCCUGGAUACGUGCUCAAAGUUCCCACCACUCCCUUUAGAGAUCAGGUGGUGAACUUGCAAGUGUUGCCCCUGGAGGAUACAGACCCAGCCCUGGCGCUGCUCUGUCCAGUUCGUGCAAUCUGCACUUACGUAGACAACGGGAAAGGCUGUCUCCAAGCAGAGGUUAUCCCAGUGGAUAGUGGAUGCUAUUGUCUUGGCUUAUCAGGCUCAAGACCUGCUAUGCCUCCUAGGGGUGAGGGCCAGAGGUGGAUAGUCCCGGGGUCAGAAAGUAAAAGUCCCAAGUAG